AAAUUUUGGCAACCUCUCAUACGAGGUUUUGCAUUUUCUUCAUACGCGAUUUUGUUCUUUGAACGACGUUAUGUACUUAUUUAAAAUACUUAA